rnacentral:piRNA from 1 species
UGAUUUCGGACAGAUUGGGCCUCACA